CAGAGCCUGUUACCUUCUUCCACUAUU
rnacentral:piRNA from 1 species